rnacentral:rRNA from 1 species
UACGAAGGGUGCAAGCGUUACUCGGAAUUACUGGGCGUAAAGCGUGCGUAGGUGGUGAGUUAAGUCUGUCGUGAAAGCCCCGGGCUCAACCUGGGAAUGGCGAUGGAUACUGGCUCGCUAGAGUGCGGUAGAGGGUGGUGGAAUUCCCGGUGUAGCAGUGAAAUGCGUAGAGAUCGGGAGGAACACCAGUGGCGAAGGCGACUUCCUGGCCUGUUCUUGACGCUGAGGCGCGAAAGCUAGGGUAGCAAACGGG